UACGUAGGUGGCAAGCGUUGUCCGGAAUUAUUGGGCGUAAAGAGCUCGUAGGCGGCUCAGUAAGUCAGGUGUGAAAACUCCAGGCUCAACCUGGAGACGCCACCUGAUACUGCUGUGGCUAGAGUCCGGUAGGGGAGCAUGGAAUUCCUGGUGUAGCGGUGAAAUGCGCAGAUAUCAGGAGGAACACCAGUGGCGAAGGCGGUGCUCUGGGCCGGUACUGACGCUGAGGAGCGAAAGCGUGGGUAGCAAA
rnacentral:rRNA from 1 species